GGGGAAUAUUGGGCAAUGGAGGAAACUCUGACCCAGCGACGCCGCGUGAGGGAUGAAGGCCUUCGGGUUGUAAACCUCUUUCAGCAGGGAAUAAGCGAAAGUGAAGGUACCUGCAGAAGAAGCACCGGCUAACUAUGUGCCAGCAGCCGCGGUAAUACAUAGGGUGCAAGCGUUGUCCGGAAUUAUUGGGCGUAAAGAGCUCGUAGGUGGUCGAUCACGUCGGAUGUGAAAUUCUGAGGCUUAACCUCGGACCUGCAUUCGAUACGGGUUGACUAGAGUGUGGUAGGGGAGACUGGAAUUCCUGGUGUAGCGGUGGAAUGCGCAGAUAUCAGGAGGAACACCGAUGGCGAAGGCAGGUCUCUGGGCCAUUACUGACACUGAGGAGCGAAAGCGUGGGGAGCGAACAGGA
rnacentral:rRNA from 1 species